UGNGAGGGCAUAUUAGCCCUCGCUUUUCUCGACUGUAAGGUGGUCGACGAAUAAGAGCUGGGCAAGACCGGUGCCAGCCGCCGCGGUAAUACCGGCAGCUCAAGUGAUGUCCCAUAUUAUUGGGCCUAAAGCGUCCGUAGCUGGCCGACCAAGUCUCCCGGGAAAUCCACCCGCCCAACGGGUGGGCGUCCGGUAGAAACUGGCCGGCUUGGAACCGGAAGGCUCAGAGAGUACGUCCGGGGUAGGAGUGAAAUCCCGUAAUCCCGGACGGACUACCGAUGGCGAAAGCACUNUGAGAAGACGGNUUCGACAGUGAGGGACGAAAGCNNGGGUCUCAAACCGGAU
rnacentral:rRNA from 1 species